rnacentral:lncRNA from 1 species
GUUUAAACUUGAUUUUGUGAGGGGACGAACAGCGUGACAAUUAAAAGAAGAUCUGGGAAUCAAAAGCUUCCUGAGGCCUUCACCAGAAGCAGAUGCUGGUGCCGUGCUUCUACAGCCUGCAGAACUGAAGGACUUUACAGCUUCUCUUUCGCAUAUCCAAAUUGCCAGCAUCACCGCUCUUGCACUCCAAGCCAUUAUUAAGUAAAGUAAAGAACACAAACACUGUGAUACUGCUACACUUGAUCUGAUAACCAAGAAGUCUACUAAGUGACUAACAGCAGAGCAACUGGGAACCUAAUUCUGACCAAAAAGGAGGAAUUGUUUGGCUAAUUGGAAGUGACAGAAACCUUGGGAGAAAGCAACCGCAUACCAAGGAUAAUUAUAAGAAGAAGAGAAGACAUGGAGAAGAGGAGGGAGUAGUUGUGACCGUGGAGGCAGAGAAUGGAGUAAUGUGAUCAUAAAUCAAGGAAUGCUGACAGCCACUAAAGCUGGAGAAGGCCAAGGACAGAUAUUCAAUCCUCCCGUAGAAGUACAGCCCUGCUAAUGCAUUGAUUUUGGACUUCUGGCCUCAGAACUGUAAGAGAAUAAAUUUCUAUUGUUUUAAGCCUUCA